GGGCUCGUUCGGGGUGCACAACGGUUGCGCCAAAAACGGUCCAAAAAUGGCCAAGGCUUUACCAUACGAAAAAUCGGCCGAUUUUUAACCAUGUGAGAAACGUCCCGAAAAUUCACAGAUAACUACUAGGCGCCUCACUCUGAGUAAUAUCAAAGUUUUUCCCACAAAAACCGCUCGGAGAUGCCCAGACUCAGUUUUUAUUUUCGUCCCAAUACUUUUCUUCCCAUGGUAGUUGUGUUUCUUUGAUCUUGUGCAACCUAUUUGGACCGAUGAUAGCCCGCGGAUAGGUGUGGAAACCCAUCUAUAUUGCACCCAGUAUGACACAGAAAAAAAGCCCAGGGCCUAGGGGUCGGGUGGGGCUCGUUCGGGGUGCACAACGGUUGCGCCAAAAACGGUCCAAAAAUGGCCAAGGCUUUACCAUACGAAAAAUCGGCCGAUUUUUAACCAUGUGAGAAACGUCCCGAAAAUUCACAGAUAACUACUAGGAGGCCUCACUCUGAGUAAUAUCAAAGUUUUUUCCCACAAAACCGCUCGGAGAUGCCCAACUCAGUUUUUAUUUUCGUCCCAAUACUUUUCUUCCAAUGGACUAGUUGUGUUUCUUUGAUCUUGUGCAACCUAUUUAGGCCGAUGAUAGCCGCGGAUAGGGUGGAAACCCAUCUAUAUUGCACCCAGUACGACACAGAAAAAAAGCCCAGGGCCUAGGGGUCGGGUGGGGCUCGUUCGGGGUGCACAACGGUUGCGCCAAAAACGGUCCAAAAAUGGCCAAGGCUUUACCAUACGAAAAAUCGGCCGAUUUUUAACCAUGUGAGAAACGUCCCGAAAAUUCACAGAUAACUACUAGGAGGCCUCACUCUGAGUAAUAUCAAAGUUUUUUCCCACAAGAACCGCUCGGAGAUGCCCGGACUCAGUUUUUAUUUUCGUCCCAAUACUUUUCUUCCAAUGGACUAGUUGUGUUUCUUUGAUCUUGUGCAACCUCUUUAGGCCGAUGAUAGCCCGCGGAUAGGUGUGGAAACCCAUCUAUAUUGCACCCAGUACGACACAGAAAAAAAGCCCAGGGCCUAGGGGUCGGGUGGGGCUCGUUCGGGGUGCACAACGGUUGCGCCAAAAACGGUCCAAAAAUGGCCAAGGCUUUACCAUACGAAAAAUCGGCCGAUUUUUAACCAUGUGAGAAACGUCCCGAAAAUUCACAGAUAACUACUAGGAGGCCUCACUCUGAGUAAUAUCAAAGUUUUUUCCCACAAGAACCGCUCGGAGAUGCCCGGACUCAGUUUUUAUUUUCGUCCCAAUACUUUUCUUCCAAUGGACUAGUUGUGUUUCUUUGAUCUUGUGCAACCUCUUUAGGCCGAUGAUAGCCCGCGGAUAGGUGUGGAAACCCAUCUAUAUUGCACCCAGUACGACACAGAAAAAAAGCCCAGGGCCUAGGGGUCGGGUGGGGCUCGUUCGGGGUGCACAACGGUUGCGCCAAAAACGGUCCAAAAAUGGCCAAGGCUUUACCAUACGAAAAAUCGGCCGAUUUUUAACCAUGUGAGAAACGUCCCGAAAAUUCACAGAUAACUACUAGGAGGCCUCACUCUGAGUAAUAUCAAAGUUUUUUCCCACAAGAACCGCUCGG
rnacentral:lncRNA from 1 species